UUCUCGGGCAGUAGAAGAAGGAUGCACGGAGUUCAUGGACGUGACCAUCCUGGUGUGCAGCGCAGCGGCUGUGUCGGCCCUCCCGCUCCUCGCCAUUGGCCUCUGCUAUUUGUCUUUUACACGUCACACGACUCAGGGCUGGAGCAAGGACUGUGAUGACUGUUGGAUGGACAAAGCCAGGUCCUUUGAAAUGUCUCAGCCAGGCACCAGGGACACCAUUCCCAGCUGAGAUCCAUGUGGGUGCCUCUCACUUGGCUAAGCCAGUCCAAGCCUUCCCCCAGGUUUAGGGGGUUCAGGGGUCUCAGUUUGGGUUCCUCUGUGAUCCUCAUAAUAAAUGUUCAUUAAAUUAACCUGA